UUUUAUGGAGAGUUUGAUCCUGGCUCAGAGUGAACGCUGGCGGCGUGCCUAAUACAUGCAAGUCGAACGAUGAAGCUUCUAGCUUGCUAGAAGUGGAUUAGUGGCGCACGGGUGAGUAAGGUAUAGUUAAUCUGCCCUACACAAGAGGACAACAGUUGGAAACGACUGCUAAUACUCUAUACUCCUGCUUAACACAAGUUGAGUAGGGAAAGUUUUUCGGUGUAGGAUGAGACUAUAUAGUAUCAGCUAGUUGGUAAGGUA
rnacentral:rRNA from 1 species